UCCGUAGGCGGUUUAGUAAGUCAGUGGUGAAAGCCCAUCGCUCAACGGUGGAACGGCCAUUGAUACUGCUAGACUUGAAUUAUUAGGAAGUAACUAGAAUAUGUAGUGUAGCGGUGAAAUGCUUAGAGAUUACAUGGAAUACCAAUUGCGAAGGCAGGUUACUACUAAUGGAUUGACGCUGAUGGACGAAAGCGUGGGUAGCGAACAGGAUUAGAUACCCCUGUA
rnacentral:rRNA from 1 species